GACGAACGCUGGCGGCGUGCCUAGUACAUGCAAGUUGAGCGCUGAAGGUUGGUACUUGUACCAACUGGAUGAGCAGCGAACGGGUGAGUAACGCGUGGGGAAUCUGCCUUUGAGCGGGGGACAACAUUUGGAAACGAAUGCUAAUACCGCAUAAAAACUUUAAACACAAGUUUUAAGUUUGAAAGAUGCAAUUGCAUCACUCAAAGAUGAUCCCGCGUUGUAUUAGCUAGUUGGUGAGGUAAAGGCUCACCAAGGCGAUGAUACAUAGCCGACCUGAGAGGGUGAUCGGCCACAUUGGGACGGAGACACGGCCCAAACUCCUACGGGAGGCAGCAGUAGGGAAGCUUCGGCAAUGGACGAGAGUCUGACCGAGCAACGCCGCGUGAGUGAAGAAGGGUUUCGGAUCGUAAAACUCGGUUGGUAGAGAAGAACGUUGGUGAGAGUGGAAAGCUCAUCAAGUGACGGUAACUACCCAGAAAGGGACGGCUAACUACGUG
rnacentral:rRNA from 1 species